rnacentral:rRNA from 1 species
GCUUAGUCUAAACCUAGAUGUACACUUACACACACAUCCGCCAGGGUACUACAAGCACAGCUUAAAACCCAAAGGACUUGGCGGUGUCUCAGACCCACCUAGAGGAGCCUGUUCUAGAACCGAUAACCCCCGUUAAACCUCACCACUUCUUGUUCUUACCCGCCUAUAUACCGCCGUCGUCAGCUUACCCUGUGAAGGUGUAACAGUAAGCAAAAUGGGCCCGCCCAAAAACGUCAGGUCGAGGUGUAGCGUACGAAGUGGAAAGAAAUGGGCUACAUUUUCUAAAUCAGAAUAUUACGAACGGCACCCUGAAAAAAUGCCUGAAGGUGGAUUUAGUAGUAAAAAGCAAACAGAGUGUUCUUUUGAAUUAGGCUCUGAGACGCGCACACACCGCCCGUCACCCUCUGCAGUCAA